GUAACAUGUGGGAAUCUGCCUUGUGGUUCAGGACAACAUGGGAAACCGAUGCUAAUACUGGAUAAGCCCUUACGGGGAAAGUUUUAAUGCCAUAAGAUGAGCCCGCAUUUGAUUAGUUAGUUGGUGAGGUAAUGGCUCACCAAGACAAUGAUCAAUAGCUGAUCUGAGAGGAUGAUCAGCCACACUGGGACUGAGACAUGGCCCAGACUCCUACGGGAGGCAGCAGUGGGGAAUCUUGCACAAUGGAGGAAACUCUGAUGCAGCGAUGCCGCGUGAGUGAAGAAGGCCUUUGGGUUGUAAAGCUCUUUUGUAGGGGAAGAUAAUGACUGUACCCUAAGAAUAAGGUCCGGCUAACUUCGUGCCAGCAGCCGCGGUAAUACGAAGGGACCUAGCGUAGUUCGGAAUUACUGGGCGUAAAGCGCGCGUAGGCCGUUGAGUUAGUUAAUUGUGAAAUCCCAAAGCUUAACUUUGGAACUGCAAUUAAAACUGCUCGACUAGAGUUUGAUAGAGGAAAGCGGAAUACAUAGUGUAGAGGUGAAAUUCGUAGAUAUUAUGUAGAACACCAGUUGCGAAGGCGGCUUUCUGGAUCAACACUGACGCUGAGGCG
rnacentral:rRNA from 1 species